rnacentral:rRNA from 1 species
UACGUAGGAGGCAAGCGUUGUCCGGAAUUACUGGGGGGAAAGCGCGUGUAGGCGGCAGGCCAAGUCUGUGGUGAAAUCGCUCGGCUCAACUGGGCGGGGUCCAUGGAAACUGGUCAGCUGGAGGACGGUAGAGGUGAGUGGAAUUCCCGGUGUAGUGGUGAAAUGCGUAGAGAUCGGGAGGAACACCCGUGGCGAAGGCGGCUCACUGGGCCGGUCCUGACGCUGAGACGCGAAGGCGUGGGGAGCGAACGGG